CUACGGGGGGCUCCAGUGGGGAAUAUUGCACAAUGGGGGAAACCCUGAUGCAGCAACGCCGCGUGGAGGAUGACGCAUUUCGGUGUGUAAACUCCUUUUAUAUAGGAAGAUAAUGACGGUACUAUAUGAAUAAGCACCGGCUAACUCCGUGCCAGCAGCCGCGGUAAUACGGAGGGUGCAAGCGUUACUCGGAAUCACUGGGCGUAAAGCGCGCGCAGGCGGCCCGUUAAGUUGGAUGUGAAAGCCUACGGCUUAACCGUAGAACUGCAUCCAAAACUGAGGGGCUAGAGUCUGGGAGGGGAAGAUGGAAUUAGUUGUGUAGGGGUAAAAUCCGUAGAGAUAACUAGGAAUACCAAAAGCGAAGGCGAUCUUCUGGAACAGUACUGACGCUGAGGCGCGAAAGCGUGGGGAGCAAACAGGAUUAGAUACCCGCGUAGUC
rnacentral:rRNA from 1 species